rnacentral:tRNA from 1 species
GCAUAAGUAGCUCAGAGUCAGAGCGUCAGUCUUGUAAACUGAAUGCCAGGGGUUAAAUCCCCCUCUUUUGCU